CGGUAUGUUAUGUACUGUAGGCUACGGUAUGUUAUGUACUGUAGGCUACGGUAUGUUAUGUACUGUAAGCUACGGUAUGUUAUGUACUGUAAGCUACGGUAUGUUAUGUACUGUAGGCUACGGUAUGUUAUGUACUGUAGGCUACGGUAUGUUAUGUACUGUAGGCUACUGUAUGGUAUGUACUGUAGGCUACGGUAUGUUAUGUACUGUAGGCUACUGUAUGUUAUGUACUGUAGGCUACUGUAUGUUAUGUACUGUAGGCUAUGGUAUGGUAUGUACUGUAGGCUACUGUAUGGUAUGUUAUGUAGGCUACGGUAUGUUAUGUAGGCUACUGUAUGGUAUGAUAUGUACUGUAGGCUACUGUUUGUUAUGUAGGCUACGGUUUGUUAUGUACUGUAGGCUACUGUUUGUUAUGUAGGCUACGGUUUGUUAUGUACUGUAGGCUACGGUAUGUUAUGUAGACUACGGUAUGUUAUGUAGGCUACGGUAUGUUAUGAUAUGUACUGUAGGCUACUGUUUGUUAUGUAGGCUACGGUUUGUUAUGUACUGUAGGCUACGGUAUGUUAUGUAGACUACGGUAUGUUAUGUAGGCUACGGUAUGUUAUGUACUGUAG
ensembl:lncRNA